rnacentral:rRNA from 1 species
GUACGUUUGACGUCCGUGGACUCGAGGACGACGCUGGCGGCGUGCGUUAACACAUGCAAGUCGAACGGUGAACUCGGAGCUUGCUCCGGGGGGUCAGUGGCGAACGGGUGAGUAACACGUGAGUAACCUGCCCCAGACUCUGGGAUAACCUCGGGAAACCGGGCUAAUACCGGAUACGAGACGUUCGGGCAUCCGAAGCGUCUGGAAAGAUUUAUCGGUCUGGGAUGGACUCGCGGCCUAUCAGCUUGUUGGUGAGGUAACGGCUCACCAAGGCGACGACGGGUAGCCGGCCUGAGAGGGCGACCGGCCACACUGGAACUGAGACACGGUCCAGACUCCUACGGGAGGCAGCAGUGGGGAAUAUUGCACAAUGGGCGCAAGCCUGAUGCAGCAACGCCGCGUGGGGGAUGAAGGCCUUCGGGUUGUAAACCCCUUUUAGCAGGGAAGAAGCGAAAGUGACGGUACCUGCAGAAAAAGCGUCGGCUAACUACGUG